rnacentral:rRNA from 1 species
ACGAGUACUCGGAGGACAUUAUUGAGUUUUGAAGUGGGCUUGAUGCUGGCGCCUUCACGGUGCAUGUGCUCAGCCCCGCUCUCAAAUCCACUUAACACCUGUGCACUUUCAAAGCUGUAGUCCUCCGUAAAGGGAGCCGCAUGUCAGUAAUGGCGUGCUGGGAUUGCACUUUGCCCCUUCAAUCACAAACUAUAUGCAUUGUCUUGUAGAAUGUAAUAGCCUCUUGUAGGCGAAACUUAAUACAACUUUCAACAACGGAUCUCUUGGCUCUCGCAUCGAUGAAGAACGCAGCGAAAUGCGAUAAGUAAUGUGAAUUGCAGAAUUCAGUGAAUCAUCGAAUCUUUGAACGCACCUUGCGCUCCUUGGUAUUCCGAGGAGCAUGCCUGUUUGAGUGUCGUGAAAUUAUCAACUCAAUUCUCUUUGAGAAGUGAGCUUGGACUUGGAGGCUGCUGGAACUUGUUUUCAGCUUCUCUUGAAUGCAUUAGCUGGACCUUUGACUUGCAGCAUAUAUGCGGUGUGAUAAUGUCGUCACUGUGUAGCUCAAGUCAGCUGGCUUCUAACCGUCCUUUCACGGGGACACUUGAUCAAUUUGACCUCAAAUCAGGUAGGACUACCCGCUGAACUUAAGCAUACAAAAAGGGGGGGAAA